AUUUGAAUCUGACAGGCAACUGGAAGUUUAUUUUUCAUCUUGUGACCAAUGCUCAACAGGGUGCUGUGUGAGUACCAAGGGGAGGUAAUUCUGAUCUGAGAGAACUACCUUUUGGUCCCACUGAGUCUGUUAUGGAAAAAAUUCAAUAUCCUUUCCUCUAUCUGGAGUCCACAUCCAGAAUACUUGCCAAAAACUCAAAGAACAGCAAAAAGAAGAGGCAUUGGUGAUUGGUCAGGAUUAAAAAAAAAGAAUUUUGGACAAAGCUGUGGUGUCAUCGACGAUGGCUAUUCUUAUGUUGAAGAACUUCUCCAAAUGCUGAAAAUUUAUGCGAAGAAAAAAGAUCUGAAGUAA
rnacentral:lncRNA from 1 species